rnacentral:rRNA from 1 species
GAUGAACGCUGGCGGCGUGCCUAAUACAUGCAAGUCGAGCGAACGGACGAGAAGCUUGCUUCUCUGAUGUUAUCGCCGGUCGGGUCCGUAACACGUGGAUAACAUACCUCUCAGACUGGGAUACUUUCGGGAAACCGGAGCUACUACCGGAUAAUAUUUUGACUCGCAUGGUUCACACGUGAAAGACGCUCUUGCUUUCACUUAUAGAUUGAUCAGGGCUGCAUUAGCUAGUUGGUUAGGUAACGGCUUAGCAACGCAACGAUGCAUAGACGACCUGAGAGGGUGAUCGGCCACACGGGAUCAGAGACACGGUACAGACACCGACGGGAGGCAGCAGUAGGGAAUCUUCCGCGAUGCACGAGAGCCUGACAGAGGAAAGUCGCGUGAGGGAUGAAGGACUUAUGAUCGUAAAGCGCUGUAAGUAGGAAAGAACAAAUGUGCAAGUAACUGGGCACAUCUUGACAGUACCGAAACAGAAAGCCACGGCUAACUACGUG